GGAGCCCCCAUGUUCUGCUAUUAAACCAGAGUAGAAACAAGGACCAGGGGAAGUGGAGCCCCCAUGUUCUGCUGUUAAACCAGAGUAGGAACAAGGACCAGGGGAAGUGGAGCCCCCAUGUUCUGCUAUUAAACCAGAGUAGGAACAAGGACCAGGGGGAAGUGGAGCCCCCAUGUUCUGCUAUUAAACCAGAGUAGGAACAAGGACCAGGGGAAGUGGAGCCCCCAUGUUCUGCUAUUAAACCAGAGUAGGAACAAGGACCAGGGGAAGUGGAGCCCCAUGUUCUGCUGUUAAACCAGAGUAGGAACAAGGACCAGGGGAAGUGGAGCCUCCAUGUUCCUGUACACACAGAGGACGUGUUUAUCCUCCUCCUCAUUCUACAUCCAAACUCAUUUUACAUAUCAGUAAAGACAAGUUUAUAUUCAGAAUAGGCUGCACGCGUUCUCUCAUCGAGUGAUCAUAUUUUCACCCAUCACACGGAGACAAGGAACAGAGUGCAAACUUGUUAUGCAAAUUUCUCAAAUCAUAGGCCCAUACACACACACACUGUCCCUGCCUAGAAAAGAUGACUCUCUCUCUCUCUCUCAGAAGACACACAGACACACACUGUCCCUGCCUAGAAAAUAUGACUCUCUCUCUCUCUCUCAGAAUACACACACACACACUGUUCCUGCCUAGAAAAUAUUACUCUCUCUCUCUCUCUCUCAGACACAAUGUUAGGAUGAUGGUUGAUGUGAGUUCGGGUAAUGAUGUGAGUUAGGGUAAUGAUUUGAGUUAGGGUAAUGUUAGGGUAAUGAUGUGAGUUAGGGUAAUGUUAGGGCAAUUAUGUGAGUUAGGGUAAUGAUGGUUGAUGCGAGUUAGGGUAAUGUUAGGAUGAUGGUUGAUGUGAGUUAAGGGUAAUGAUGUGAGUUAGGGUAAUGAUGUGAGUUAGGGUAAUGAUUUGAGUUAGGGUAAUGAUGUGAGUUAGGGUAAUGGUGUGAGUUAGGGUAAUGUUAGGGUAAUGAUGUGAGUUAGGGUAAUGAUGGUUGAUGUGAGUUAGGGUAAUGUUAGGGUAAUGAUGGUUGAUGUGAGUUAGGAUAAUGGUGGUUGAUGUGAGUUAGGGUAAUGAUGGUUGAUGUGAGUUAGGGUAAUGGUGGUUGAUGUGAGUUAGGGUAAUGGUGGUUGAUGUGAGUUAGGGUAAUGGUGGUUGAUGUGAGUUAGGGUAAUGGUGGUUGAUGAGAGUUAGGGUAAUGGUGGUUGAUGUGAGUUAGGGUAAUGGUGGUUGAUGUGAGUUAGGGUAAUGUUAGGGUAAUGAUGUGAGUUAGGGUAAUGGUGGUUGAUGUGAGUUAGGGUAAUGUUAGGGUAAUGAUGGUUGAUGUGAGUUAGGGUAAUGGUGGUUGAUGUGAGUUAGGGUAAUGGUGGUUGAUGUGAGUUAGGGUAAUGGUGGUUGAUGUGAGUUAGGGUAAUGGUGGUUGAUGUGAGUUAGGGUAAUGGUGGUUGAUGUGAGUUAGGGUAAUGAUGGUUGAUGUGAGUUAGGGUAAUGAUGGUUGAUGUGAGUUAGGGUAAUGUUAGGGUAAUGAUGGUUGAUGUGAGUUAGGGUAAUGUUAGGGUAAUGAUGUGAGUUAGGGUAAUGAUGGUUGAUGCGAGUUAGGGUAAUGUUAGGGUAAUGAUGGUUGAUGCGAGUCAGGGUAAUGAUGGUUGAUGUGAGUCAGGGUAAUGAUGGUUGAUGUGAGUUAGGGUAAUGAUGGUUGAUGUGAGUCAGGGUAAUGAUGGUUGAUGCGAGUUAGGG